rnacentral:misc_RNA from 1 species
UGUGUUGAAUAUUUCAUGGUUAUUUGUUUAAUUUGAUUCAGAUCCAUGGUUAUUUGCUUACUGCAAUCCAAAGUCUUCCCCCUUCUAUUUUGAUUCUACAUAAUUUUUCUUUUAUAAUUUGUAUUUGAUUGAGAGUUUUUUUAUUAUUUGUGCGUUGAUUUUCUUUAUUUUGUAAUUAUUUGUUUUAUUGAUGGAUUUUAUUUCAUUGUCAUUGAGGAUUUGAGUGUUGGCUUCCAUUUUAUUCAUCUUCUAUUGAUGAGAUCCCUCCGCUUUUUAUUUAAUUUACAGAGAAGAAAGAGACGGGAAGAGAGG